CUGGAAGCAUUCCCUUUGAAAACUGGCACAAGACAGUUAUUCUACAACAUAAUAUUGGAAGUUCUGGCCAGAGCUAUCAGGCAAGAGAAAGAAAUAAAGGGUAUUAAAAUUGUAAGAGAGGAAGUCAAAUUGUCUCUGCUUGCAGAUGACAUGAUUAUAUAUUUAGAAAACCCCAUUGUCUCAGCCCAAAAUCUCAAGCUGAUAAGCAACUUUAUCAAAGUCUCAGGAUACAAAAUCAGUGUGCGAAAAUCACAAGCAUUCUUAUACACCAAUAAUAAACAGAGUCAAAUCAUGAGUGAACUCCCAUUUACAAUUGCUACAAAAAGAAUAAAAUGCCUAGGAAUACAACUUAGAAGUGAUGUGAAUGACCUAUUCAAGGAGGACUACACACCACUGCUCAAUGAAAUAAGGAAGGACACAAACAAAUGGAAAAACAUCCCAUGCUCAUGGAUUGGAAGAAUCAAUAUCAUGAAAAUGUCCAUACUUCCCAAAGUAAUUUAUAGAUCAAUUCUAUUCCCGUCAAGCUACCGUUGACUUUUUUUUUUUCACAGAAUUAGAAAAAGCUACUUUAAAAUUCAUAUGGAACUAAAAAAGCCCACAUGGCCAAGACAAUCCUAAGCAAAAAGAACAAAGCUGGAGUCAUGACACUACCUGACCUCAAACUACACUACAGGGUUACAGUAUCAAAAACAGCAUGGUAGAUACAUAGAACAGUGUAACAAUGAACAAUGAUACGUAGAUACAUAGAACAAUGUAACAACGGAGGCCUCAGAAAUAAUGCCACACAUCUACAACCAUCUGAUCUUUGAAUAACUUGACAAAAACAAGCAAUGGGGAAAGAAUUUCCUACUUAAUGGCGCUGAGGAAAACUAGUUAUUUAGAUGCAGAAAACUGAAACUGGACCCCUUUCUUACACCUUACAAAAAAAUUAACUCAAGAUGGAUUAAAGACUUAUGUAAGAGGCUGGGCGCGGUGGCUCACACCUGUAAUCCCAGCACUUUGGGAGGCUCAGGUGGGUGGAUCAUGAGGUCAGGAGAUCGAGACCACGGUGAAACCCCGUCUCUAAUAAAAAUACAAAAAAAUUAGCUGGGCACGGUGGUGGGCGCCUGUAGUCCCAGCUACUCAGGAGGCUGAGGCAGGAGAAUGGCGUGAACCCAGGAGGCGGAGCUUGCAGUGAGCAGAGGUCGCGCCACUGCACUCCAGCCUGGGCGACAGCGAGACUCCGUCUCAAAAAAAAAAAGAAAAAAAACUUACGUAAGACCUGAAACCAUAAAAAUCCUGGAAGAAAACCUAAGCAGUACCAUUCAGGACAUUGGCAUGGGCAAAGACUUCAUGACUAGAACACCAAAAGCAAUGGCAAUAAAAGCCAAAAUUGACAGAUGGGAUCUAAUUAAACUAAAGAUCUUCUGCAUAGCAAAAUAAACUAUCUUCAGAGUGAAAAGGCAAACUACACAAUGGGAGAAAAAUUUUGCAAUCUAUCCAUCUGACAAAGGUCUGAUAUCCAGAAUCUACAAAGAACUUAACCAUAUUUACAAGAACAGAACAACUCUAUCAACGAGUUGGUGAAGGAUAUAAACAGACAUUUGUCAAAAGAAGACAUAUAUGCAGCCAACAAACAGGAAAAAAAAGCUCAUCACUGGUCAGUAGAGAAAUGCAAAUCAAUACCACAAUGAGAUACUAUCUCAGGCCAGUGAGAAUCACAGUCAUUGAAAAGCCAGGAAACAACAGGUGCUGGAGAGGAUAUGGAGAAAUAACACUUUUACACUGUUGGCAGGAGUGUAAAUUAGUUCAACCAUUGUGGAAGACUGUGGUGAUUCCUCGGAUCCAGAACCAGAAAUACCAUUUGACCCAGCAAUCCCAUUGCUGGGUAUAUAUCCAAAGUAUAAAUCAUUCUACUAUAAAAAGAAACAUGUUUAUUGUGGCACUGUUCACAAUAGCAAAGACUGGGAACCAACCCAAUGCCCAUCGAUGGUAGUUGAUUUACACCAUGGGAUUCUAUGCAGCCAUAAAAAAGGAUGAGUUUAUGUUCUUUGCAGGGACAUGGAUGAAGUUGGAAACCAUUCUCAGCAAACUAACACAAGAACAGAUAACCAAACACAAUGUUCUCAGGCAUAAUUGAGAUUUGAACAAUGAGAACACGUGGACAUGGAGGGGAACCUCACACACCGGGGCCUGUCAUGACAUGGGGGGCUUGGGGAGGGAUAGCAUUAGGAGAAAAACAAUAUAGAUGAUGAGUUGAUGGAUGCAGCAAACGACCAUGGCACAUAUAUACCUAUGUAACAAAACUGCACAUUCUGCACAUGUACCCCAGAACUUAGUAUAAAAAAUAAAUAAAAAUAUUUGUCUUGGGUGCUUGUCAUCCCAGAUACUUGGGAGGCUGAGGCAGGAGAAUUGCUUGAAAUCAGGGCAAUCAGGCGAGAGAAAGAAAUAAAGCAUAUUCAAAUAGAAGAAAA